rnacentral:rRNA from 1 species
AUGAAGGACGUAGCGAAAUGCGAUACAUGGUGUGAAUUGCAGAAUCCCGUGAACCAUCGAGUCUUUGAAUGCAAGUUGCGCCCAGAGCUGUUAGGCCGAGGGCACGCC